GUUUAGUGGCUAUACCACACAAGUUAGAUAUCUUUACCAUAUCAUUCUAUGAUUCCCUUUUUGUUCCCUAUUCUUUGAUUGUUUGUUCUUACAUUCACUUGUUUGAUCCCUAUUCAUUUUACUGUCCAUUAAACGACCUACACACAUAUAUAUAAGAUAAAACUUUGGUUUGUUUAAUUUGUUUUUUUUCACUAAAUUAGCAGAACCGAAUUUUAAAAUAUUUUUUUAUUGAUUUUAUACUUUUUAUUGAAAACAUAAUUUUAAAAUAUUUUUAUUUUAAAAAAGCAUAUCAUUCAAAUAAAAUAUCUUAUUCAUUUAUAAAUUUUUAAAAAAUUUUCAUUAUGCUAACAGAAUUUAAUUAAUUAUUACUUUAAACUGAUUAAAUUCUUAUUGCGAUUAAUUUUUUAAUAUAUAAAUACAUAAAAAAUAAAGUUAGCUUCUCAAUUUAAGUUUAAUAGUUAAAUAAGCGUUUAAUAUUUUUUUUUAUGUCUGUACUCGAGAUUAAGUCAUUAAUAUUUACAAUGAAAUUGUUAUAUUGAUUUCUAUCACAGUUGAUUGUAUGAUCAGUUAUGGAGGAGAGAAAUCGAUAAUGCGAGCUGAUGUUGGAGGAGAGAUACUGACAAUAUGAGCAGAUGCUGGAGGAGCGCAUGCAAUAAAUAA
rnacentral:misc_RNA from 1 species